rnacentral:lncRNA from 1 species
UGAAAAACUGACCAAUCGACUCAAUGAACUACAAUGCAUUGUGGGCUACUACGAGUAAACUACUACUUAAAACACGUGGAAUUAGUGGGAAAACAGUCAAUUAAUAUAUUGUCUGGGACUCUCAUUACCAAAGUUUUUAUUCUGCAAAUAUAUUUAAUGUAAAAUAUAUAACGUAAUCUUCAAUUUGCAUGCUCAGAUUAAAAAAAUAUUGUUUAUUGGCUUCACGAUUCGACUUUCUUUUUCGCCUUGCAAAAGUAGUUGAACCGGUUUUGUGCAUUGUUAUGAAUUGAACCUGCAUUAAUUUCACGACAUGACACAGUGAAAUAUCCAAUGAAGUGACCACUGUCCAGUAAGAAAAUCAUUUGAGCUCUUUUAAACCUGUAUAAUGUCAUUGCAAAAUCAUUUCUGCCUAGAAAAACACGAAACUUUCAUUUGAAACACUUCUUUCUGUACUGAAUGUGUAUUUUUUUUAUCAGGACCUGAACUAAUAGUAAGAACAUCAUAAUAUUCAGUAUGCUAAAAAGAAGUGUUAUGAAAGCGGCAGGGGCGGGUCCAGCCAUUUUAAAAAGGGGUCCUAACCCUGGACAAAAGGGAGGGGUUCCAACUACAUGUCCCCAUCCAAAUGCACUGAUCGUCCAAAAAAGGGGGUCCAUCCCCCGGAACCCCCGCCCCCUGGAUCCGCCACUGAGCGGGUACGGUAUAUAGCUCAAUACAUUUUUUUUUAUAGUUUCAUCCAUCGAUAAUAUCCGUUUGUUGCUAAUUUUAUCACAAAAUAUACCUCAGAGGUUUUUUUUAUCGUUCGGCUGCUGUCCUGUUGACAUAUGUAAAAUAUCUCCAAUAUUAAAAGUCUCUGGAUCAUAGUGGGUGCCAUAUUACCUAUUAUUUUUUUUCUAAAACGUGCUUUGUAUAUAGAAAUAAGAAGAUGAGGUAUGAGUGCCAAAUGAGACAUCUUUCCAACAAAGACAUAAUUUAGUAAAGUAAGCAGUCAUAGGUCCAAUGCUGAAAAGUAAGCUAUUAAUGACCCAAAAAUUACUUGUGUAAAACAAUCCAAACAAAAAAAAAAACAAAAAAAAAAACCGGCCCAAUUAAAUAUAUAAAAGGACAAGAAAUCUAUCCCAUUAAAAAAAAAUAUAUUGUAUAGGAGCCUGUAUUUCAGUGGUUGUCGUUUGUUUAUGUGUUACAUAUUUGUUUUUCGUUCAUUUUUUUUUUAUAUAAUUAAGGCCGUUAGUUUUCUCGUUUGAAUUGUUUUACAUUGUCAUAUCGGGGACUUUUAUAGCUGACUAUGCGGUAUGGGCUUUGCUCAUUGUUGAAGGCCGUACGGUGAUCUAUAAAUGUUAAUUUCUGUGUCAUUUUGGUCUCUUGUGGACAGCUGUCUCAUUGGCAAUCAUACCACAUCUUCUUUUUUUUAUUAUAGAUCCAACGCUGCAAUUUUCACAAAACAUAUCAAAUUUUCCACCUUGUCGCACAUACAUAUGGAUAAAAUCAUUACAGCUUAUUUCCUAAUGCAUGUGGAGCAAAACUUUGGUUAGCUUGCUUGCUUUGUUUGUAUAUUGUACAAAAUAUAAAAUAUACAAGUUAAACUAUGCCUAUAUAUAUAUAUAUUGUUUAAAGAUGUCAAUCUUAUUUUCAAAGCUUGUAUAAACAACUAUACAAACAAAGCAAGCAAGCCAACCAAAGUUUUACUUUGCAGGUUUAAGAAAUCAGCUGUAAUGAUUUUAUUCAGUUUGGCAAAUGUCCGAG